AGUGAACGCUGGCGGUAGGCCUAACACAUGCAAGUCGAACGGCAGCACAGUAAGAGCUUGCUCUUACGGGUGGCGAGUGGCGGACGGGUGAGGAAUACAUCGGAAUCUACUUUUUCGUGGGGGAUAACGUAGGGAAACUUACGCUAAUACCGCAUACGACCUACGGGUGAAAGCAGGGGAUCUUCGGACCUUGCGCGAUUGAAUGAGCCGAUGUCGGAUUAGCUAGUUGGCGGGGUAAAGGCCCACCAAGGCGACGAUCCGUAGCUGGUCUGAGAGGGUGAGAGUGCACAUUGGGCCUGAGGUCGGACCCAGACGCCUAUGGGGGGCAGCAGUGGGGUAUGGUGCAUAAAGGGGGGAGGCGUGAAGCAGAAAGGCCGGGUGCGGGCUGACGGGUUUCGGAUUGUAAACCGCUUUCACUCAUGGCGAAGCUUUGUGUGACGGUCGUGGGUAAAGAAGAACCAGCUAACUACGUG
rnacentral:rRNA from 1 species